rnacentral:lncRNA from 1 species
UUGUACCCAUUAGGUUAUUCUCAUGUCUUCCUUCAGGCAUACCUGAAGACAGCAUGUGCCUGCAAUGCUGCUGUGUCAAUUUAGGCAAACAAGCAACACCUGAAGCCACCCUGACUGUCUUCUUUAAACUCAUCAGUUCUCCUACAGAGAAAGGUUAUCUUAAAUUGAAGUCAAAUCAUCUGAUGAAACAACGCAAAUCUAGUAGGAGGGACCUCAGCAGUUAUGAUCAAACUGAGCUAGAAGUAUUGAAGAAAAAACAGAUCUCCCAGUUCAAUGGCCUGAGAAAAUCUGAUGAAGGGACACGAUGCAAAAACCAGAGCUUGUUAACAAGAAAUGGAGUAUACUCCUCUGAAAUGGAGGCAUGA